rnacentral:rRNA from 1 species
GACGAACGCUGGCGGCGUGCUUAACACAUGCAAGUCGAGCGGAGCGGCGAACGGGUGAGUAACGCGUGAGUAACUGCCCCCCUCUCUGGGAUAACAGUUGGAAACGGCUGCUAAUACCGGAUAGUGGGGGAUGACUCGCGUCCUAUCCGCUUGUUGGUGGGGUAUUGGCCUACCAAGGCGACGACGGGUAGCCGGCCUGAGAGGGCGACCGGCCACAUUGGGCUGGGGUACGGGCCAAUGUACAACUGGAGGCAGCAGUGGGGAAUAUGGCACACUGGGGGAAACCCGUAUGCAGCAACGCCGAGUGCGGGAGGACGGCUUUCGGGUUGUAAACCGCUUUCAGCCAUGACGCGGUAGUGGCAGAAGAAGCACCGGCUAACUACGUGCCAGCAGCCGCGGUAAUAC